rnacentral:rRNA from 1 species
AUGGAGACCGUGGCGUGGGCGGCGAGGAGGUCGCUGCAGGAGGCCGCGGCCUCGUACGCGCAUGCGCGCCACGACCCGGCCGCGCGGUCCACGGCGAGGUCGGUCGAGACGAUCGUGGUGAUCGUGGCGGCGAUCGUGCUCGCCGCGGCGCUCGCGGGGGUCCUCGCGCGGGCGUGCGGCGGACGGCGACGUCGAGGGGUGGGUGGAGCGCCGGUGCCGGAGCUGCCUCGACAGCGGCCUCCCGCCGCCAGCAGCACCAGCAUCCAAGGCCAGUGA